GAUGAACGCUGGCGGCGUGCCUAACACAUGCAAGUCGAGCGAUCUUCUUCGGAAGAGAGCGGCGGACGGGUGAGUAACGCGUGGGUAACCUGCCCUGUACACACGGAUAACAUACCGAAAGGUAUGCUAAUACGAGAUAAUAUGCUUUUGUCGCAUGGUAGAAGUAUCAAAGCUACGGCGGUACAAGAUGGACCCGCGUCUGAUUAGCUAGUUGGUAAGGUAACGGCUUACCAAGGCGACGAUCAGUAGCCGACCUGAGAGGGUGAUCGGCCACAUUGGAACUGAGACACGGUCCAAACUCCUACGGGAGGCAGCAGUGGGGAAUAUUGCACAAUGGGCGAAAGCCUGAUGCAGCAACGCCGCGUGAGCGAUGAAGGCCUUCGGGUCGUAAAGCUCUGUCCUCAAGGAAGAUAAUGACGGUACUUGAGGAGGAAGCCCCGGCUAACUACGUGCCAGCCGCCGCCGUAACAC
rnacentral:rRNA from 1 species